rnacentral:rRNA from 1 species
CUACGGGAGGCAGCAGUAGGGAAUCUUCCACAAUGGGCGAAAGCCUGAUGGAGCAACGCCGCGUGAGUGAAGAAGGAUUUCAGUUCGUAAAACUCUGUUGUAAGGGAAGAACAAGUACAGUAGUAACUGGCUGUACCUUGACGGUACCUUAUUAGAAAGCCACGGCUAACUACGUGCCAGCAGCCGCGGUAAUACGUAGGUGGCAAGCGUUGUCCGGAAUUAUUGGGCGUAAAGCGCGCGCAGGUGGUUUCUUAAGUCUGAUGUGAAAGCCCACGGCUCAACCGUGGAGGGUCAUUGGAAACUGGGAGACUUGAGUGCAGAAGAGGAUAGUGGAAUUCCAAGUGUAGCGGUGAAAUGCGUAGAGAUUUGGAGGAACACCAGUGGCGAAGGCGACUAUCUGGUCUGUAACUGACACUGAGGCGCGAAAGCGUGGGGAGCAAACAGGAUUAGAUACCCUGGUAGUCCACGCCGUAAACGAUGAGUGCUAAGUGUUAGGGGGUUUCCGCCCCUUAGUGCUGCAGCUAACGCAUUAAGCACUCCGCCUAGGGAGUACGGUCGCAAGACUGAAACUCAAAGGAAUUGACG